rnacentral:tRNA from 1 species
GGGCGUGUAACUCAGGGGUAGAGUGUUCGCUUUGCAUGCGAAAAGUCCUGGGUUCAAAUCCCAGCUCGUCCA